GAGAUAUGAGCUCGAGCAUUGAAGUUAUGUUGGAAUCAAUUUAUGCUUUGGACGACUCAGGAUCAUUCGCACAAGCAAGGUUCAUUCCAGAUCCUAUGAGAUGCAACAUCAAAGUACCUUCUUCGCAUUCUAGAAAUCAUAUUUCUGUACCAGUAAUUCAACCUUCAAAUUUAAGCAUCCAAAAUCACAGGUUGAUGCAGAAAUCAAGCUAAAAUGACAUCCUUGGCAUCAUUCAACAAACUUAACUACAUUUGAUUCCCAUUACAACGCUAUGGACAUUCUAUUCAUUUCAGAAAUAAAUUUAAAAGAAGCUGUAGAG